GCAAAUGGCCAUAUCACAUUGAAUGCAUCAGUUCUCACCUGAUAAGAGAAGUUAAAUAGAGUGAAGCCAAGUGAGUACUUGGAUGGGUGACCGUUUGGGAAACCUGUGGGCUGUAAGCA
rnacentral:rRNA from 1 species